UCACCUCUGCAGGCUACGGCCCCCAGGCUGGGCUGGGUGAGGAUCUCUUCCAAGGGCUCCCCCUCAAGCACCACUAGGAGC
rnacentral:pre_miRNA from 1 species